AAAGGUAGCAUAAUCAUUAGGGACUUAAUUGGUACCUUGUAUGAAUGGUCGGUCAAAGGAAAAGCUGUCUUUACAAUAUAGAUUGAAAUUUACUUUUAAGUGAAAAGGCUUAAAUACAUCAAAGGGACGAUAAGACCCUAUAAAUCUUUAUGAAUAAGUUAAAAUUAAUUAAUUUAAUUAAUAAAGACUAAAUUUAUACUAUUUUAUUUUGUUGGGGUGAUGUGAGUAUAAUUAAUAUUAACUGCUUAAAAAUAAUACUGUUAUAAUAGAGUUCCAAGUAUAUGAUCCUUUGUAGAGAUUUAAAGACUAAGUUACUUUAGGGAUAACAGCGUUAUUUCUUUUGAGAGCCCAUAUCGAAAAAGAAGAUUGCGACCUCGAUGUUGAAUUAAAAGAUCUAUAUAAUGCAGCAGUUAUAAAAGAAGGUCUGUUCGACCUUUAAAAU
rnacentral:rRNA from 1 species